CUCCAGGUUUUGAAGAAUUGGAAAUGGGAAUCAGCCAGAGGGCAACGGAGAGGAACACUAUGGUAUUAGGACCAUAUUGGUUUUAUGAAAGGAUUCAUAAGCAUGGGGAGCUCUCCCUAUGGAAACCCCCUCCACCUAUGAAGACAGAGAACAGAGAUGCAAAUGAUGACCUCUCAGCAUUGCCUGUGACUUGUCCGGCCAG